rnacentral:rRNA from 1 species
AGCGAACGUUAGCGGCGCGCUUAACACAUGCAAGUCGCACGAGAAAGGGCUUCGGCCCCGGUAAAGUGGCGCACGGGUGCGUAACACGUAGGCAAUCUUCCCUUGAGCGGGGGAUAACGUUUCGAAAGAGACGCUAAUACCGCAUAAGACCACGACCGGUUCGCCGGUUGCGGUCAAAGCUGGCCUCUUCUUGAAAGCUAGCACUUAAGGACGAGCCUGCGGCCCAUCAUGCUAGUUGGAGUGUAAUGGACUACCAAGGCGAAGACGGGUAGCUGGUCUGAGAGGAUGAUCAGCCACACUGGAACUGAAACACGGUCCAGACUCCUACGGAGGCAGCAGUGGGGAAUAUUGGACAAUGGGCGAAAGCCUGAUCCAGCGACGCCGCGUGAGUGAUGAAGGCCUUC